rnacentral:lncRNA from 1 species
UUUUGAAACUAUUAUUGUACCUUUGUUGCGGCAGUGUGACUGCGAGCUGAGGGUUACUGACAUUCUUAGAAGUCUAGAGAUACUAUUCUAGACUCGACAUCAAAAACUUAUGAUUAUUAGAGACAUGAAAGGAAACUUAUGCUCUAUCUCAUAUUCUAUCUCCUUACUCAACUCUAUAUAAACUCUCCACUCAUCUCAAAUCCUUAAGUUCAAGGAUAGGUUUCAAGAAAAUCAUGGUUCCAAGUCUCGAUUUGUCUCUCAUAUAAGGCUCGUCUAAUCUCAUUCAAACACAUAGACAACACAAUCACCUAAGGCCCAUAAGAAAAAAAAACACAAUCAAACAUUAUCAAAACAUGCUUUGUUUUUACACUGACUCAACUUCAAAAUCUAACCUGUUCUGACUCCGACACCUCCUGGACUCGAG